AUUGAACGCUGGCGGAAUGCUUUACACAUGCAAGUCGAGCGGCAGCGCGGGGGCAACCCUGGCGGCGAGCGGCGAACGGGUGAGUAACAUAUCGGAACGUACCCCGUCGUGGGGGAUAACACAGCGAAAGCUGUAGCUAAUACCGCAUACGACCUGAGGGUGAAAGCGGGGGAUCGCAAGACCUCGCGCGAUGGGAGCGGCCGAUAUCGGAUUAGCUUGUUGGUGAGGUAAAGGCUCACCAAGGCGACGAUCCGUAAGCUGGUCUGAGAGGACGACCAGCCACACUGGAACUGAGACACGGUCCAGACUCCUACGGGAGGCAGCAGUGGGGAAUUUUUGGACAAAUGGGGGCAACCCUGAUCCAGCCAUUCCGCGUGAGUGAAGAAGGCCUCGGUGU
rnacentral:rRNA from 1 species